CUAUGCUAUGCGGGGAGGUAGCGGUGCCCUGAAUCUGCAAUCCGCUAUAGCAGGGCUGAAUUCCUAGGGUGCGGCGUGUUUCUUUUGAGGUCCGGCCCAUGUAAGUGGUGUUGAAGAUUAGGUCCUGAGCAACUUGAAUUUAUCAAACCCCGUCAGGUCUGGAAAGAAGCAGCGGCAGAUAAAUCUUCAGGUGUGACGCAGGACAGCCUAAUUGGAGCUAACUGCUCGGGUAACGCUUGGGAGAGCGCGUCAAACCUCAGGUGCAUAG
rnacentral:SRP_RNA from 1 species